rnacentral:rRNA from 1 species
GGUUAAGCGACUAAGCGUACACGGUGGAUGCCCUGGCAGUCAGAGGCGAUGAAGGACGUGCUAAUCUGCGAUAAGCGUCGGUAAGGUGAUAUGAACCGUUAUAACCGGCGAUUUCCGAAUGGGGAAACCCAGUGUGUUUCGACACACUAUCAUUAACUGAAUCCAUAGGUUAAUGAGGCGAACCGGGGGAACUGAAACAUCUAAGUACCCCGAGGAAAAGAAAUCAACCGAGAUUCCCCCAGUAGCGGCGAGCGAACGGGGAGCAGCCCAGAGCCUGAAUCAGUGUGUGUGUUAGUGGAAGCGUCUGGAAAGGCGCGCGAUACAGGGUGACAGCCCCGUACACAAAAAUGCACAUGCUGUGAGCUCGAUGAGUAGGGCGGGACACGUGGUAUCCUGUCUGAAUAUGGGGGGACCAUCCUCCAAGGCUAAAUACUCCUGACUGACCGAUAGUGAACCAGUACCGUGAGGGAAAGGCGAAAAGAACCCCGGCGAGGGGAGUGAAAAAGAACCUGAAACCGUGUACGUACAAGCAGUGGGAGCCUCUUUUAUGGGGUGACUGCGUACCUUUUGUAUAAUGGGUCAGCGACUUAUAUUCUGUAGCAAGGUUAACCGAAUAGGGGAGCCGAAGGGAAACCGAGUCUUAACUGGGCGUUAAGUUGCAGGGUAUAGACCCGAAACCCGGUGAUCUAGCCAUGGGCAGGUUGAAGGUUGGGUAACACUAACUGGAGGACCGAACCGACUAAUGUUGAAAAAUUAGCGGAUGACUUGUGGCUGGGGGUGAAAGGCCAAUCAAACCGGGAGAUAGCUGGUUCUCCCCGAAAGCUAUUUAGGUAGCGCCUCGUGAAUUCAUCUCCGGGGGUAGAGCACUGUUUCGGCAAGGGGGUCAUCCCGACUUACCAACCCGAUGCAAACUGCGAAUACCGGAGAAUGUUAUCACGGGAGACACACGGCGGGUGCUAACGUCCGUCGUGAAGAGGGAAACAACCCAGACCGCCAGCUAAGGUCCCAAAGUCAUGGUUAAGUGGGAAACGAUGUGGGAAGGCCCAGACAGCCAGGAUGUUGGCUUAGAAGCAGCCAUCAUUUAAAGAAAGCGUAAUAGCUCACUGGUCGAGUCGGCCUGCGCGGAAGAUGUAACGGGGCUAAACCAUGCACCGAAGCUGCGGCAGCGACACUAUGUGUUGUUGGGUAGGGGAGCGUUCUGUAAGCCUGUGAAGGUGUGCUGUGAGGUAUGCUGGAGGUAUCAGAAGUGCGAAUGCUGACAUAAGUAACGAUAAAGCGGGUGAAAAGCCCGCUCGCCGGAAGACCAAGGGUUCCUGUCCAACGUUAAUCGGGGCAGGGUGAGUCGACCCCUAAGGCGAGGCCGAAAGGCGUAGUCGAUGGGAAACAGGUUAAUAUUCCUGUACUUGGUGUUACUGCGAAGGGGGGACGGAGAAGGCUAUGUUGGCCGGGCGACGGUUGUCCCGGUUUAAGCGUGUAGGCUGGUUUUCCAGGCAAAUCCGGAAAAUCAAGGCUGAGGCGUGAUGACGAGGCACUACGGUGCUGAAGCAACAAAUGCCCUGCUUCCAGGAAAAGCCUCUAAGCAUCAGGUAACAUCAAAUCGUACCCCAAACCGACACAGGUGGUCAGGUAGAGAAUACCAAGGCGCUUGAGAGAACUCGGGUGAAGGAACUAGGCAAAAUGGUGCCGUAACUUCGGGAGAAGGCACGCUGAUAUGUAGGUGAAGUCCCUCGCGGAUGGAGCUGAAAUCAGUCGAAGAUACCAGCUGGCUGCAACUGUUUAUUAAAAACACAGCACUGUGCAAACACGAAAGUGGACGUAUACGGUGUGACGCCUGCCCGGUGCCGGAAGGUUAAUUGAUGGGGUCAGCGCAAGCGAAGCUCUUGAUCGAAGCCCCGGUAAACGGCGGCCGUAACUAUAACGGUCCUAAGGUAGCGAAAUUCCUUGUCGGGUAAGUUCCGACCUGCACGAAUGGCGUAAUGAUGGCCAGGCUGUCUCCACCCGAGACUCAGUGAAAUUGAACUCGCUGUGAAGAUGCAGUGUACCCGCGGCAAGACGGAAAGACCCCGUGAACCUUUACUAUAGCUUGACACUGAACAUUGAGCCUUGAUGUGUAGGAUAGGUGGGAGGCUUUGAAGUGUGGACGCCAGUCUGCAUGGAGCCGACCUUGAAAUACCACCCUUUAAUGUUUGAUGUUCUAACGUGGACCCGUGAUCCGGGUUGCGGACAGUGUCUGGUGGGUAGUUUGACUGGGGCGGUCUCCUCCUAAAGAGUAACGGAGGAGCACGAAGGUUGGCUAAUCCUGGUCGGACAUCAGGAGGUUAGUGCAAUGGCAUAAGCCAGCUUGACUGCGAGCGUGACGGCGCGAGCAGGUGCGAAAGCAGGUCAUAGUGAUCCGGUGGUUCUGAAUGGAAGGGCCAUCGCUCAACGGAUAAAAGGUACUCCGGGGAUAACAGGCUGAUACCGCCCAAGAGUUCAUAUCGACGGCGGUGUUUGGCACCUCGAUGUCGGCUCAUCACAUCCUGGGGCUGAAGUAGGUCCCAAGGGUAUGGCUGUUCGCCAUUUAAAGUGGUACGCGAGCUGGGUUUAGAACGUCGUGAGACAGUUCGGUCCCUAUCUGCCGUGGGCGCUGGAGAACUGAGGGGGGCUGCUCCUAGUACGAGAGGACCGGAGUGGACGCAUCACUGGUGUUCGGGUUGUCAUGCCAAUGGCACUGCCCGGUAGCUAAAUGCGGAAGAGAUAAGUGCUGAAAGCAUCUAAGCACGAAACUUGCCCCGAGAUGAGUUCUCCCUGACUCCUUGAGAGUCCUGAAGGAACGUUGAAGACGACGACGUUGAUAGGCCGGGUGUGUAAGCGCAGCGAUGCGUUGAGCUAACCGGUACUAAUGAACCGUGAGGCUUAACCUU